GACGGAGGGUGCAAGCGUUAUCCGGAUUCACUGGGUUUAAAGGGUGCGUAGGAGGGCAGGGAAGUCAGUGGUGAAAUCCUAGGGCUUAACCCUAGAACUGCCGUUGAUACUCUCUGUCUUGAAUGCCGUGGAGGUGAGCGGAAUAUGUCAUGUAGCGGUGAAAUGCUUAGAUAUGACAUAGAACACCGAUUGCGAAGGCAGCUCGCUACACGAACAUUGACUCUGAGGCACGAAAGCGUGGGGAUCAAACAGG
rnacentral:rRNA from 1 species